GACGAACGCUGGCGGCGUGCUUAAUACAUGCAAGUCGAACGGACCGAUUCCGGUAGUUUACUGUUGGGGAAGGUUAGUGGCGGACGGGUGAGUAACGCGUGGGCAAUCUGCCCCUAGGUCCGGGAUAACAGAGCGAAAGUUCUGCUAAGACCGGAUACUCUUUACUUGCCGGAGGGUUGGUAAAGGCAGGGGAAGGGGUAGGGCUGGGCGCUCGUCACAUUAGUGAGUGGGUGGGGUAAUGCCACACCAAGGCAGGGUAGGGGAGCUGGGAGGAGGGGCGGGACGGUCACACUGGGGCUGAGACACGGCCCAGACUGGUACGGAGGGGAGCAGUAGGGAAUAUUCGGGAAUGAGCGAAAGCCUAACCGAGCAGCGCGGCGGAAGAGGCGAAGGUCUUCGGAUCGUACAUCUGUGUCAUCGAGGACGAUAAUGACGGUACUCGGGGAGGAAGCCCCGGCUAACUACGUG
rnacentral:rRNA from 1 species